rnacentral:rRNA from 1 species
CUACGGGUCGCUGCAGACGAGAAAACUUUGCAAUGUGCGAAAGCACGACAAGGUUAAUCCGAGUGGUUUGUGCUAAACGAACCUUUUGACAGUCCUAGAAACACUGUUGAAUAAGGGGUGGGCAAGUUCUGGUGUCAGCCGCCGCGGUAAAACCAGCACCUCAAGUGGUCAGGAUGAUUAUUGGGCCUAAAGCAUCCGUAGCCGGCUCUGUAAGUUUUCGGUUAAAUCUGUACGCUCAACGUACAGGCUGCCGGGAAUACUGCAGAGCUAGGGAGUGGGAGAGGUAGACGGUACUCGGUAGGAAGGGGUAAAAUCCUUUGAUCUAUUGAUGACCACCUGUGGCGAAGGCGGUCUACAAGAACACGUCCGACGGUGAGGGAUGAAAGCUGGGGGAGCAAACCGGAUUAGAUACCCUAGUAGUC